AAUCGAUGUUUAUCUGUGAGAUGUUUUCUUGCCCAUGUGAGCAAAAAAAAUACUUUAUUGCAUUGCUUUUCGGGGAUUCAAAAUGGCGGACGAAAAGCUCAAGAGGAACUUUCUUUGUAUAAAAAAUUAUUUGCAUAAAUAACAAUUUAAACAUUUAA